GAUCGUUUAGAUCCGUGUUGUAAUUUUAGCUAUAAAAUGGUUUCAUAUGUUAGGUAGAUCGAGCCUAUUAUUUCAAUUUAUAAAUUUAAGGGGUAAAUAUUUUCAGUGAAAAUUAUUAAAUAUAAAAGUAAUUUUUAAUUAGGUAAUUUUAUAGGAGUGGAAAACAGCGUGCCAGCAGCCGCGGUUAUACGCAGUCUUCAAGUUAAGGUGAUUUUACAAAAUGGUAUUUUAUGAAAAUAAAUACUUUGAGGGAUUAUAUUAGGUAAAAUUUUUAUAAAACAAGCAAAGAGUUUUUUAGGAAAAUAUAAAAAGGAAGAUUAUGAACCGGGAUUAGAUACCCCGUUACUCUUUCUAAUGAGUUUUGGAAUAGUAAAUUUUAGGAAAUUUAACGGAUUUGGCGGCAAGAUAGACCAUUUAGAGGAACCUGCCCUAUAAACGAUGGACCACGAAUACAUUACUUCUAUUAGUAAACAGUUUGUAUACCGCUGUUGUUAGUUAGUUUUAUUAGAAAACUUUCAGUUUUGGUUUACCAUUGACUUCAAGUAAAGGUGCAGCAUAUAUAGAAGAAAGAGGUGGGUUACAAUUAAUUGAGUAAAACGGAAAAAAGUAGGAAGAUAUUUUUUGAAGGUGGAUUUAAUAGUAAGAUCUUAAAGGAUUUGAUGGGUGCCCUAUUUUGUGUACACACCGCCCGUCGCUCUCUGGAAAUGAGAUAAGUCGUAACAAGGUAAGUGUAAUGGAAAUUGUACUUGAUAAAAG
rnacentral:ncRNA from 1 species